UACAGAGGGGGCAAGCGUUGUUCGGAAUUACUGGGCGUAAAGGGCGCGUAGGCGGCCUGCUAAGUCAUACGUGAAAUCCCAUGGCUCAACCAUGGAACUGCGUGUGAUGCUGGCGGGCUUGAAUUCGGGAGAGGGAUGCGGAAUUCCAGGUGUAGCGGUGAAAUGCGUAGAUAUCUGGAGGAACACCGGUGGCGAAGGCGGCAUCCUGGACCGAGAUUGACGCUGAGGCACGAAAGCGUGGGAGCAAACAGG
rnacentral:rRNA from 1 species